GUCAACUACCCCGCCCAGAAGGGCGGAGCUUGUGUAGAGCAAGCUGAGUUGACCAGCCUAAGCCCGCCUGACCAGGAGGGUCGAAAGGGGCUACGUGUGCAACAGGUCGUUAAGACUCACCGGCGGAUGCUUCCUCAGUCCGCCGCUCUGAAAGGUCAGGAUCAGGCUGACGAAAGGUAAAGCGUCGAAGGUCUUGAUCGCCGUGCAAGCGGGAGCCGGUUGCCCACAUUGGCGAGGGGAGCGAC
rfam:Allochromatium vinosum DSM 180, complete genome.